GCCACUGAAAUAUUUAUAAUUUUUGGACCCCUGUGUGCUGAAAAUUUCCUCCGCCGCGGUUUCGCGUGUCCCGUGUUUUGCUGCUAGAUCGCGCCCUUUUCCGGCAAAAGUUUUUCUUUAAAUGCACCGUCUACGGCCCAUCGAACUCGGCUUCAUCUCGGUUAAACGGUAGUGGCUCACCAGUUAGCGGCAUCCUCCAGCAUAGCGACCCGCGAAAAGAAAGGAAGCCCCUCCUCGGUUAGCAGCCCGGCGAGCGACGACAAGCGCAUCAUGUCGCUUUACCUCUUUCAGCGUGCGUGCGUACGGCGGCGAAGGGUACGAGAAACAACACACCCAGAUUUCUGCCAGGCACCAGCAACAUGAACGUCGAGGAAGAAGUGUUCCGGAUUCAGAAGAAUCUCGGCAAAAUGACAUCCUUAUCGGAUGGCUCGCGUGCGUGCGUACGGCGGCGAAGGGUACGAGAAACAACACACCCAGAUUUCUGCCAGGCACCAGCAACAUGAACGUCGAGGAAGAAGUGUUCCGGAUUCAGAAGAAGCUCGGCAAAAUGACAUCCUUAUCGGAUGGCUCGCGUGCGUGCGUACGGCGGCGAAGGGUACGAGAAACAACACACCCAGGUUUCUGCCAGGCACCAGCAACAUGAACGUCGAGGAAGAAGUGUUCCGGAUUCAGAAGAAUCUCGGCAAAAUGACAUCCUUAUCGGAUGGCUCGCGUGCGUGCGUACGGCGGCGAAGGGUACGAGAAACAACACACCCAGGUUUCUGCCAGGCACCAGCAACAUGAACGUCGAGGAAGAACUGUUCCGGAUUCAGAAGAAUCUCGGUAAAAUGACAUCCUUAUCGGAUGGCUCGCGUGCGUGCGUACGGCGGCGAAGGGUACGAGAAACAACACACCCAGGUUUCUGCCAGGCACCAGCAACAUGAACGUCGAGGAAGAAGUGUUCCGGAUUCAGAAGAAGCUCGGCAAAAUGACAUACUUAUCGGAAUUUUUUUUUUAAUUUCUUAAAUUAAAUACCGCUGUCUUCCUUUCUGCUUUCCCCCUU